rnacentral:rRNA from 1 species
GGGGCUUCGGCCCCAAUUGAGUGGCAAACGGGUGAGUAACGCGUGGGUGACCUACCUUCGAGUGGGGGAUAACGUCUCGAAAGGGACGCUAAUACCGCAUGACAUCCUGCCUUUGGACAGGCGGAGAUCAAAGCUGGGGAUCGCAAGACCUGGCGCUUGGAGAGGGGCCCGCGUCCGAUUAGCUAGUUGGUGAGGUAAUGGCUCACCAAGGCUUCGAUCGGUAGCCGGCCUGAGAGGGCGGACGGCCACACUGGGACUGAGACACGGCCCAGACUCCUACGGGAGGCAGCAGUGGGGAAUUGUUCGCAAUGGGCGCAAGCCUGACGACGCAACGCCGCGUGGAGGAUGAAGGUCUUCGGAUUGUAAACUCCUGUUGAUCGGGACGAACAUCCAUCGGGUUAAUAACCCGGAGGACUGACGGUACCGGUUGAGGAAGCCCCGGCUAACUCUGUGCCAGCAGCCGCGGUAAUACAGAGGGGGCAAGCGUUGUUCGGAAUUACUGGGCGUAAAGGGCGCGUAGGCGGCCACCUAAGUCAGACGUGAAAUCCCUCGGCUCAACCGGGGAACUGCGUCUGAUACUGGGUGGCUUGAAUUCGGGAGAGGAAUGCGGAAUUCCAGGUGUAGCGGUGAAAUGCGUAGAUAUCUGGAGGAACACCGGUGGCGAAGGCGGCAUUCUGGACCGACAUUGACGCUGAGGCGCGAAAGCCAGGGGAGCAAACGGGAUUAGAUACCCCGGUAGUCCUGGCCCUAAACGAUGAAUGCUUGGUGUGGCGGGUAUCGAUCCCUGCCGUG